rnacentral:misc_RNA from 1 species
GCUACCACAAAUAUGAACCAUUUUACCUUGCAUCAAUCUCAUAUUUGCAACCACACGAUGGAUGGUGGGGCACUGCGGCCAAAUAUCUGGUGCAUAUUUCUAUUUCUAUAUAUUAAACCAGGACCCGAUCUUCCCAAAUCAAGGUGGACACGUCGUCCAAAAUUUGGAAGUCCGGACACGUCGUCUAAAAUUUGGAAGCCAUCGGAUUGUUUCUCCAUGACGAGAUUCUACCGUCUAGCUAUUGCACCAGUCAUACAAUCCCCAAAGCCUCCAGAAGUUUCUGGCCAUUACUCCCAGCCACGGAUCGAGCGUUUUCUAUUCCGACUUCUUCCUUCUGAAAGGUAGCACUCAUUCUUUCUUCUGAAAGGUAGCACUCAUUCUUUCUCUCUCUAUCUCCAUCUCUCAUUCGUGCCAUGCGCUGCCAUUUCCCCUUCCUCGCACGCUCCGUCCAGUCGUUGGCGUGCCACCUGUUUUCACCGUCCAUCCCUCCGUCCCCUACGCUACCAUUUUCUUAGUAGGUUGUCGGGCCGUGCUCGUUAUACAUAAAAGUUGCCAUACCUAAGUAGGCACAUCGAUAAUUAAAAUUAAAUUAAAAUUAU